AAGUAAUCUAAAAUAAAUAAUUAUUUAUUUUAGUUACAAUCGUUGUCAUCAGUAGACUUGUUUAUAGAAAAGGAAUAGAUCUACUUGCAGAAGUGAUUCCACAAAUUUGUUCCAGAUACCCCGAUAUAGAUUUUAUAAUUGGAGAUGAUGGUCCUCAGAGAAUAGUUUUAGAAGAAGUUAGAGAACGUUGCCUACUGCAAGAAAGAGUGACUCUUCUUGGAGCUGUUAAGCAUGAAAAUGUUCGAGAUGUUCUUGUGAAGGGUGAUAUCUACCUGAAUGCAUCACUUACAGAAGCAUUUUGUAUUGCAAUUUUAGAAGCAGCUUGUUGUAGGUAUUUACUAUUUUAAUGUUAAUACAGUUAUUUUUUUUAUUAUACCCUUUGUAGAGUUAAAUAUUUUAAUAAUGUUAUGUUAAAAUAUUUUUUGUGAUUUAUUUAUGAAACGAAAUUCCUUUAGCUUAUUACUUCGAUUUAUAAGAUCAGUUUCUUUAUGACAAAUUGGUGGGAGUUUUCAAAAUUUAACCUGCCGCAAAGAAUUGACUGUAAAUGUGGAUUCCUGUGCAUACUAAUUAUAGAACUUGUAAAUAAUUCUUUGUUUAUUACUACAAAUAAAUCUGCUAAGAAACAAUUAAAUAAACAAAUACAGAACACACAAGAGCUCCUCUGCAUUAAAUUUUCUUCUUGACCUCACUCUAACCUUAACCGUUAUCCACAUUUAUGUAAAUAAAGCAUGUCAUUAGUAUCUUUCUUUUUUGUAUAGCCGAACAACUCAUCUAUGUAUUUAUUUCUCUUACAUUGCACCCAAUAUGUGGGUAUUUCUAUAUCUAAAUUGGCAAUAGUAUAGUCAUUUAUAAGUAGUUCAUUUUAUUAGUUUGUAAUGAUUUAAGUAGUGUUAAACAUAAAUAGUUAUAUGUUAAGUAUAUGUCUAAAUUGAUUUUGUUAGGUAGUCUUAAGUUAGUUAUACAUUUAGUAUUUAUUCAGAAUAAUUUUGUAUUUUUAUAGAAAUAAAAACUUAGUUCCGAAGUAAUUAUUGAGAUUCAUUUUUUUUUAUCCUUUUUCAAAUGGCAGCAGAAAUUUUAAACAUAUGGUGCUAUUGGGCUCAUACUGUCAUAUCAAGUAUUGGUGACGGAGCUUGCCUUUUUCGAGCAAAAAGCAUGUACAUAUAUUAUACCAGAUUUAAAUUAUGGUCCGUGAAGAAGUAGUAAAGCACAAAAAACAGCUUUGGGAUGAGUUUUCUUUUGUAUCUCACGGCAGAGAUGGAAAUAAUUUUAAUCUUUUUGCUGCUUACUGUGCUGAAAUAUCAUGAAUUUAUAUUUAUGGAGGUUUGUGUUAUUUAAUGAUUGCCUAAUAAAUUUUAAGUUAUUA
rnacentral:lncRNA from 1 species